rnacentral:tRNA from 1 species
GAGAGAGUCAUAGAGGUUAUGGAAUUGGCUUGAAACCAGUUUCUGGGGGUCUGAUUCCUUCCUUUCUCG